rnacentral:rRNA from 1 species
GAUGAACGCUGGCGGCGUGCCUAAUACAAGCAAGUCGAACGCACAGCGAAAGGUGCUUGCACCCUUCAAGUGAGUGGCGAACGGGUGAGUAACACGUGGACAACCUGCCUCAAGGCUGGGGAUAACAUUUGGAAACAGAUGCUAAUACCGAAUAAAACUCAGUGUCGCAUGACACAAAGUUAAAAGGCGCUUUGGCGUCACCUAGAGAUGGAUCCGCGGUG